rnacentral:rRNA from 1 species
CCUACGGGAGGCUGCAGUGGGGGAUAUUGCACAAUGGACGAAACUCUGAUCCAGCGACGCCGCGUGAGGGAAGACUGCCUUCGGAUUGUAAACCUCUUUCUUUGGGGAAGAAAAUGAUUCUACUCACAGAGUAUUCUCCGGCUAAUAACGAUCAAGCAGCCGCGGUUAUAGGUCGGGAGCGGGCGUCGUCCGGAGUUACUGGGUGUUAGGUGGGCUUAGGCGGGGGAGAAAGUAGAUGGUUAAAUCUACCGGCUUAACUGGAAGCUGCGUUUGAAACUGCUUGUCUUGAGUGCAGUAGAGGCAGGCGGAAUUCCUAGUGUAGCGGUGAAAUGCGUAGAUAUUAGGAGGAACACCAGUGGCGAAGGCGGUCUGCUGGACUGUAACUGACGCUGAGGCUCGAAAGCGUGGGGAGCAAACAGGAUUAGAUACCCGAGUAGUC